AGCGUACACGGUGGAUGCCCUGGCAGUCAGAGGCGAUGAAGGACGUGCUAAUCUGCGAUAAGCGUCGGUAAGGUGAUAUGAACCGUUAUAACCGGCGAUUUCCGAAUGGGGAAACCCAGUGUGAUUCGUCACACUAUCAUUAACUGAAUCCAUAGGUUAAUGAGGCGAACCGGGGGAACUGAAACAUCUAAGUACCCCGAGGAAAAGAAAUCAACCGAGAUUCCCCCAGUAGCGGCGAGCGAACGGGGAGCAGCCCAGAGCCUGAAUCAGUGUGUGUGUUAGUGGAAGCGUCUGGAAAGGCGUGCGAUACAGGGUGACAGCCCCGUACACAAAAAUGCACAUGCUGUGAGCUCGAUGAGUAGGGCGGGACACGUGGUAUCCUGUCUGAAUAUGGGGGGACCAUCCUCCAAGGCUAAAUACUCCUGACUGACCGAUAGUGAACCAGUACCGUGAGGGAAAGGCGAAAAGAACCCCGGCGAGGGGAGUGAAAAAGAACCUGAAACCGUGUACGUACAAGCAGUGGGAGCACAGAGCAAUCUGUGUGACUGCGUACCUUUUGUAUAAUGGGUCAGCGACUUAUAUUCUGUAGCAAGGUUAACCGAAUAGGGGAGCCGAAGGGAAACCGAGUCUUAACUGGGCGUUAAGUUGCAGGGUAUAGACCCGAAACCCGGUGAUCUAGCCAUGGGCAGGUUGAAGGUUGGGUAACACUAACUGGAGGACCGAACCGACUAAUGUUGAAAAAUUAGCGGAUGACUUGUGGCUGGGGGUGAAAGGCCAAUCAAACCGGGAGAUAGCUGGUUCUCCCCGAAAGCUAUUUAGGUAGCGCCUCGUGAAUUCAUCUCCGGGGGUAGAGCACUGUUUCGGCAAGGGGGUCAUCCCGACUUACCAACCCGAUGCAAACUGCGAAUACCGGAGAAUGUUAUCACGGGAGACACACGGCGGGUGCUAACGUCCGUCGUGAAGAGGGAAACAACCCAGACCGCCAGCUAAGGUCCCAAAGUCAUGGUUAAGUGGGAAACGAUGUGGGAAGGCCCAGACAGCCAGGAUGUUGGCUUAGAAGCAGCCAUCAUUUAAAGAAAGCGUAAUAGCUCACUGGUCGAGUCGGCCUGCGCGGAAGAUGUAACGGGGCUAAACCAUGCACCGAAGCUGCGGCAGCGACGCUUAUGCGUUGUUGGGUAGGGGAGCGUUCUGUAAGCCUGUGAAGGUGUACUGUGAGGUAUGCUGGAGGUAUCAGAAGUGCGAAUGCUGACAUAAGUAACGAUAAAGCGGGUGAAAAGCCCGCUCGCCGGAAGACCAAGGGUUCCUGUCCAACGUUAAUCGGGGCAGGGUGAGUCGACCCCUAAGGCGAGGCCGAAAGGCGUAGUCGAUGGGAAACAGGUUAAUAUUCCUGUACUUGGUGUUACUGCGAAGGGGGGACGGAGAAGGCUAUGUUGGCCGGGCGACGGUUGUCCCGGUUUAAGCGUGUAGGCUGGUUUUCCAGGCAAAUCCGGAAAAUCAAGGCUGAGGCGUGAUGACGAGGCACUACGGUGCUGAAGCAACAAAUGCCCUGCUUCCAGGAAAAGCCUCUAAGCAUCAGGUAACAUCAAAUCGUACCCCAAACCGACACAGGUGGUCAGGUAGAGAAUACCAAGGCGCUUGAGAGAACUCGGGUGAAGGAACUAGGCAAAAUGGUGCCGUAACUUCGGGAGAAGGCACGCUGAUAUGUAGGUGAAGUCCCUCGCGGAUGGAGCUGAAAUCAGUCGAAGAUACCAGCUGGCUGCAACUGUUUAUUAAAAACACAGCACUGUGCAAACACGAAAGUGGACGUAUACGGUGUGACGCCUGCCCGGUGCCGGAAGGUUAAUUGAUGGGGUCAGCGCAAGCGAAGCUCUUGAUCGAAGCCCCGGUAAACGGCGGCCGUAACUAUAACGGUCCUAAGGUAGCGAAAUUCCUUGUCGGGUAAGUUCCGACCUGCACGAAUGGCGUAAUGAUGGCCAGGCUGUCUCCACCCGAGACUCAGUGAAAUUGAACUCGCUGUGAAGAUGCAGUGUACCCGCGGCAAGACGGAAAGACCCCGUGAACCUUUACUAUAGCUUGACACUGAACAUUGAGCCUUGAUGUGUAGGAUAGGUGGGAGGCUUGGAAGUGUGGACGCCAGUCUGCAUGGAGCCGACCUUGAAAUACCACCCUUUAAUGUUUGAUGUUCUAACGUUGACCCGUAAUCCGGGUUGCGGACAGUGUCUGGUGGGUAGUUUGACUGGGGCGGUCUCCUCCUAAAGAGUAACGGAGGAGCACGAAGGUUGGCUAAUCCUGGUCGGACAUCAGGAGGUUAGUGCAAUGGCAUAAGCCAGCUUGACUGCGAGCGUGACGGCGCGAGCAGGUGCGAAAGCAGGUCAUAGUGAUCCGGUGGUUCUGAAUGGAAGGGCCAUCGCUCAACGGAUAAAAGGUACUCCGGGGAUAACAGGCUGAUACCGCCCAAGAGUUCAUAUCGACGGCGGUGUUUGGCACCUCGAUGUCGGCUCAUCACAUCCUGGGGCUGAAGUAGGUCCCAAGGGUAUGGCUGUUCGCCAUUUAAAGUGGUACGCGAGCUGGGUUUAGAACGUCGUGAGACAGUUCGGUCCCUAUCUGCCGUGGGCGCUGGAGAACUGAGGGGGGCUGCUCCUAGUACGAGAGGACCGGAGUGGACGCAUCACUGGUGUUCGGGUUGUCAUGCCAAUGGCACUGCCCGGUAGCUAAAUGCGGAAGAGAUAAGUGCUGAAAGCAUCUAAGCACGAAACUUGCCCCGAGAUGAGUUCUCCCUGACUCCUUGA
rnacentral:rRNA from 1 species